rnacentral:rRNA from 1 species
CAAAACUUUCAACAACGGAUCUCUUAGUUCUGGCAUCGAUGAAGAACGCAGCGAAAUGCGAUAAGUAAUGUGAAUUGCAGAAUUCAGUGAAUCAUCGAAUCUUUGAACGCACAUUGCGCCCUCUGGUAUUCCAGAGGGCAUGCCUGUUCGAGCGUCAUUU